CUCUAUCGCCAUGCCACUCUGAGGGCACCGGUUCUGUCUGAUCUCCAAAGCUAAGCAGGGAUGGGCCUGUUAGUGAUUGACAGGGAGACCCGGCAGACGGGGAAGGGAGAGGGG
rnacentral:rRNA from 1 species